CAGCCCUUGACAUGGCAGGACGGUUACCAGAGAUGGUUUCCUUCACUUCGGUGACCUGCACACAGGUGCUGCAUGGCUGUCGUCAGCUCGUGUCGUGAGAUGUUGGGUUAAGUCCCGCAACGAGCGCAACCCUCGCCCUUAGUUGCCAUCAUUCAGUUGGGCACUCUAAGGGGACUGCCGGUGAUAAGCCGGAGGAAGGUGGGGAUGACGUCAAGUCUUCAUGGCCCUUACGGGCUGGGCUACACACGUGCUACAAUGGUGGUGACAGAGGGUUGCUAGGCCGCGAGGUCAUGCUAAUCCCAAAAAGCCAUCUCAGUUCGGAUUGCUCUCUGCAACUCGAGAGCAUGAAGUCGGAAUCGCUAGUAAUCGCAGAUCAGCACGCUGCGGUGAAUACGUUCCCGGGCCUUGUACACACCGCCCGUCACACCAUGGGAGUUGGUUCUACCCGAAGCCGGUGCGCUAACCGCAAGGAAGCAGCCGACCACGGUAGGGUCAGCGACUGGGGUG
rnacentral:rRNA from 1 species